rnacentral:lncRNA from 1 species
CGGCCGCUAGGUGGCGCAUGCGCCCUGGAGGGCGCGGGCGGUCUCUGGGAAGAAGGCGGCGGCGGCGGCGAGAGGCGGGGGCGCCGUGGGGGCCGGUCCGUGUUUACACAGCGGCGGGCGGGUGCGGACGCGGAACCCGGCGCGGCGGCGGCACGAUGGUCAUGGCGCAUUUCGUGGAGAAUUUCUGGGGGGAAAAAAAUAAUGGCUUUGAUGUUCUGUACCAUAAUAUGAAACAUGGACAGAUAUCAACUAAAGAACUAGCAGAUUUUGUAAGAGAAAGAGCUACAAUAGAAGAGGCAUACUCCAGAUCAAUGACAAAACUAGCGAAAUCUGCAAGCAAUUAUUCACAACUUGGAACAUUUGCACCAGUGUGGGAUGUGUUCAAAACAUCUACAGAGAAAUUAGCAAAUUGUCAUUUGGAUCUUGUUAGAAAAUUGCAGGAAUUAAUAAAGGAAGUUCAGAAAUAUGGAGAGGAGCAAGUAAAAUCUCAUAAAAAGUACAACAAUUGAAAGUUUGAUACAAAAAUUUGCUGAGUCAAAAGGCACAGGGAAAGAAAGACCUGAUGGUUGUGAGCCACCAUGUGGUUACUGGGAAUUGAACUCGGGACCUCUGGAAGAAUAGUCAGUGCUCUUAACCGCUGAGCCAUCUCGACAGCCCUCUAAUGUGAUUCUUGAACCAUCAAAAUGCUGAGUCCUGAAUACCAUCCUGGACUUGAAUAGGGUUCGCUGGGAUUGUAGUCUAGAGCUAUGUGGCUUGACAUACCCUCCCCUCUGGAUGGCCUUAUUGAAUUUGAGGAGUGUGACCCUGCUAGUGCAGUUGAAGGCAUAAAACCAAGGAAAAGAAAGACUUUUGCUUUGCC